rfam:Dipodomys ordii contig_27098, whole genome shotgun sequence.
GGGAAUGUGGCUUAGUGGUAGAGUGCUUGCCUAGCAUACAUGAAGCCCUGGGUUCAAUUCCUCAGUACCA